UUAAGUGAAUAAGGGCGCACGGUGGAUGCCUUGGUACUAGGAGCCGAAGAAGGACGGAACUAACACCGAUAUGCUUUGGGGAGCUGUAAGUAAGCUAAGAUCCAAAGAUUUCCGAAUGGGGGAACCCAGCACCUUUCAUAGGGUGUUACCAAUGAGUGAAUACAUAGCUCAUUAGGAGGUACACGCAGGGAACUGAAACAUCUCAUUACCUGCAGGAAGAGAAAGAAAAAUCGAUUCCCUGAGUAGCGGCGAGCGAAACGGGAGGAGCCCAAACCAACGAGCUUGCUUGUUGGGGUUGUAGGACUAGAACGUGAGAAGACAUCAAGAUAGCAGAAGUGGUCUGGAAAGGCCCAUCACAGAAGGUGACAAUCCUGUACGCGACAUCUUGACGAACUCUACUAGCAUCCUGAGUACGGCGGGACACGAGGAAUCCCGUCGGAAUCCGCCAGGACCAUCUGGCAAGGCUAAAUACUACCUAGUGACCGAUAGUGAACCAGUACCGUGAGGGAAAGGUGAAAAGAACCCCGGGAGGGGAGUGAAAGAGUACCUGAAACCGUGUGCUUACAAGUAGUCAGAGCCCGUUAAUGGGUGAUGGCGUGCCUUUUGUAGAAUGAACCGGCGAGUUACGUUUACAUGCGAGGUUAAGAUGAAGAGUCGGAGCCGUAGCGAAAGCGAGUCUGAAUAGGGCGCAUGAAGUAUGUGGACGUAGACCCGAAACCAAGUGAUCUACCCAUGUCCAGGUUGAAGGUGCGGUAAAACGCACUGGAGGACCGAACCAGGGCACGUUGAAAAGUGCUUGGAUGAGGUGUGGGUAGCGGAGAAAUUCCAAUCGAACUUGGAGAUAGCUGGUUCUCUCCGAAAUAGCUUUAGGGCUAGCCUCGGAAGUGAGAAUCGUGGAGGUAGAGCACUGUUUGGACUAGGGGCCCAUCUCGGGUUACCGAAUUCAGAUAAACUCCGAAUGCCAUGUAUUUAUAUCCGGGAGUCAGACUGCGAGUGAUAAGAUCCGUAGUCGAAAGGGAAACAGCCCAGACCACCAGCUAAGGUCCCAAAAUAUCUGUUAAGUGGAAAAGGAUGUGGGGUUGCACAGACAACUAGGAUGUUGGCUUAGAAGCAGCCAUCAUUCAAAGAGUGCGUAAUAGCUCACUAGUCGAGUGACCCUGCGCCGAAAAUGUAACGGGGCUAAACAGAUUACCGAAGCUGUGGAUUGGACCUAAUGGUCCAGUGGUAGGAGAGCGUUCUAAGGGCGGAGAAGCAUGACCGUAAGGACAUGUGGAGCGCUUAGAAGUGAGAAUGCCGGUAUGAGUAGCGAAAGACGGGUGAGAAUCCCGUCCACCGAAUAACUAAGGUUUCCUGGGGAAGGCUCGUCCUCCCAGGGUUAGUCGGGACCUAAGGCGAGGCCGAUAGGCGUAGUCGAUGGACAACAGGUUGAUAUUCCUGUACUUCUAUAAAUCGUUUGAGCAAUGGAGGGACGCAGGAGGCUAAGAAAAGCGUACGACUGGAAGUGUACGCCCAAGCAGUGAGUCGGCUGAUGAGUCAAAUGCUUAUCACAGAUGCGACAAGCUGUAACGGGGAGGGAAGUUUAGUACCGAAGUUUCUGAUGUCACACUGCCGAGAAAAGCUUCUAGCAAGAUUUAUAGGACCCGUACCGCAAACCGACACAGGUAGUUGAGGAGAGAAUCCUAAGGUGAGCGAGCGAACUCUCGUUAAGGAACUCGGCAAAAUGACCCCGUAACUUCGGGAGAAGGGGUGCUGGUAGCAAUACCAGCCGCAGUGAAUAGGCCCAGGCGACUGUUUAUCAAAAACACAGGUCUCUGCAAAAUCGAAAGAUGACGUAUAGGGGCUGACGCCUGCCCGGUGCUGGAAGGUUAAGAGGAGAGGUUAGCGCAAGCGAAGCUUUGAAUUGAAGCCCCAGUAAACGGCGGCCGUAACUAUAACGGUCCUAAGGUAGCGAAAUUCCUUGUCGGGUAAGUUCCGACCCGCACGAAAGGCGUAACGAUCUGGGCACUGUCUCAACGAGAGACUCGGUGAAAUUAUAGUACCUGUGAAGAUGCAGGUUACCCGCGACAGGACGGAAAGACCCCAUGGAGCUUUACUGUAGUUUGAUAUUGAGUGUUUGUGUCACAUGUACAGGAUAGGUAGGAGCUGAAGAAUCCGGGACGCCAGUUUCGGAGGAGGCAACGGUGGGAUACUACCCUUGUGACAUGACCACUCUAACCCGCACCCCU
rnacentral:rRNA from 1 species